rnacentral:rRNA from 1 species
GACAGAGGAUGCAAGCGUUAUCCGGAAUGAUUGGGCGUAAAGCGUCUGUAGGUGGCUUUUCAAGUCCGCCGUCAAAUCCCAGGGCUCAACCCUGGACAGGCGGUGGAAACUACCAAGCUGGAGUACGGUAGGGGCAGAGGGAAUUUCCGGUGGAGCGGUGAAAUGCGCAGAUAUCAGGAGGAACACCAAUGGCGAAGGCAGCUCGCUGGGACGGUACUGACGCUGAGACGCGAAAGCGUGGGGAGCAAACAGG